AGGGCGGGCGUGGGCCGCGGGCACAGUCUGGGCAGGCGGGGAGGGGCAGAUCCGGUGGGCUCUGGGCCAACGUGGGAGUGAGGGCCACGUACGCUGAGGUUGGCACAGCCAGGCCACUGCCCUGGGGUGGCAGAUGCUACAGGACAGGACAGAAGGGCAGAGCGGAGGCAGAAGAACUCGGAGUGGGGCCCUGCUCCACGUCCACCCCGUGUCCCCCAGCAGUGAGGCGAGUGUCAGGCUGAGGGGCCGAUGGAGAUGACAGCAGCCUCGGUCCGGCACAGAGCAGGAAGCCUGAGAAGGGUGUGCAGUACCUCAUUGAGCGUGGCUUCGUCCCUGACACGCCGGUGGGUGUGGCCCACUUUCUGCUGCAGCGCAAGGGCCUGAGCCGCCAGAUGAUAGGCGAGUUCCUGGGCAACUGGCAGAAGCAAUUCAACCGCGAUGUGCUCGAGCGUGGACGAUGGCGAGGACAUUCCCCGGGAG